UACGUAGGGUCCGAGCGUUGUCCGGAGUUACUGGGCGUAAAGCGCGCGCAGGCGGCGGGCUAAGUCUGGCGUGAAAGCCCCCGGCUCAACCGGGGAGGGUCGUCGGAGACUGGUUCGCUUGAGGGCGGUAGGGGCUGGUGGAAUUCCCGGUGUAGUGGUGAAAUGCGUAGAGAUCGGGAGGAACACCCGUGGCGAAGGCGGCCAGCUGGGCCGUCCCUGACGCUGAGGCGCGAAGGCGUGGGGAGCGAACGGG
rnacentral:rRNA from 1 species